rnacentral:pre_miRNA from 1 species
AAUAAAUAAUGUUUUGUAUUGUUUAUGUCCAAUGUUUGACUAUUUGUUUUAUCUGAACAUUUUUUAUUAUUAGUGUUUUUAUUGUUAUUAGAUGAUAAUACAUGAAUAGUAUUUUAUGUGUGACUAAUUUUUUUAUUUUUCUAAAUAAGAUGGAUGGUUAAACGUUAGACAUAGAUAUCCACGGCUAUGCAUAUU